ACUGCUGUAAAACUUCUCAAUCAAUUGUUUGCGUCUAAUACGCAGUAUUGUUAAAUAAAUUUUAGAAAAUUAUCCAAGUUAUUAUUGAAACACGACAAAGUGGGUGAACAAAGAAAUUCCAUAUUUGAUAAAAAUAUAACAAAAAAAUAUAUUUAACACUACAAGUCCGACUGGCGGGGCUUUUGUGAGUUCGUUGUUCCGGGCUGUUGGCGAAGAUGAUAUAGAAAUAAUGUUUACACUGAUUUGGUAUGAGGUUUUAAUAUAAAAAGCGACACAAUAACUAACAUAAAAUACAAAAUGAGUUGAGAAUCGUACAGUUAAUCUAAGACUCGCAAUAUUUUACUGGUCGUCGUCGCGCGCGCUGAGGGCGUGUUUUCGCGCUCAGAGAGCUCUGUCUCAGCGGGGGCGGUAUCGCACGUUCGGAAAUUUCGUUCCGUUAUAGAUAUUAUUUUUCUUUUGUUUUUUAAUAUUAUGGGAGUUUUCUAAAUGAAAUAAGUGAGAAUUUGUGGGUUACUAACGGCCGUUUUCAAUAACCUAUCUAUCCCUAGUUUCGGUUACUAAAGAUAGACAAAUCUAUAUUUUUGUCCUUACUUACGUUCCAAUAACCUAUCGACGGGCAGCAGUUCCUAUCGGAUUUAUCAAUCCAUCGUCGGGAGGACGGAUAGCCUGCUAAAGAUAGAACGCUCAUACAAAUCGUGCUUACUUCCGUUUCAAUAUGAGUUUUAAGUAACUCUCCGGUAGGCGGCGCUAUCUCUAGUAUGGGCAUUCGCUUAUCUGUCAAAAUCGGCCGGUUACAUGUUUAUCUUUCGAAAGUAAAUCGCUAUAAUUUAAUAAAUGUUUCUCUUUAUAAUGGCAUAUUGUAGCAGUGAUGAUAGUGAUAUGGAAUUAUUUCAAAUGAUAAUGGAUUGUGAUGCAGAUAGUGAUAGUGAGGCCGAUAUCAUAUGGUUAGGAAAAUAAAGAUCGUCUGAAUUACAUGGCGAAGAUCAAUAAUUACGAAUUUGACUAUAGAUUUCUGAGCAAAGGUGUUGUGAAUGAAUUGAUUAAUUUAAUGAGACCAUAUUUGAGUGUAACGUCAAAAAGGUAAGAUAAAUUUUAACCAUAAAAGUACUCGUUAUUACAACUUAUAUUUGUUUAUAGCAAUAGCAAAAUUAUACCUAAUUUUUGUUGUGUUACAAAAUCACACUCAACAGGAAUUCUAUAAUACUGCUGGAUUCCCAUGGUGCCCUAAAUGACAUUCAUAUACUAAUACAAUAACCUGGUAGGCUAUUUACCUUCAUUCUUAUUACACACUGAUACCUCUACAUUUUAUAUUUGUGUUACAGAUUCAAAUAUAGGAGAGGAAUUUAGAAAUAGAAAAAGAGUAUUUUGAAUGUGUAAUUUGUGUGCAAUGCAUCAUUGAUGUUUCAAAAUGUUGUUGCUUGAUGGCCUGGGUCUACUCAUGAUACAACUAUAAUUAACCAUUCCGAUUGAAAAGAUGCAUUGGUGUUUGUAAAAGAAGACUCCCUGUAUUAUCAUUGAAAAGUAGAUUAAAACUAGAAAAUAUGCAAGCUGUUAUUAUAGCUGCCAUGCUGCAUAAUAUCGACAGGAGUAUGAAUUUAGAAGAAUUAGAAUCAGAAAUUUCAGUCGCAGAUACAUUACAGGAAAAUAAUAUAAUUGUUCGUAACAAUUUUCCAGAACGUACAUCUGAAAUACAACUACUUAUAAAUAAUUGCUUCCAAAGAUAAUUUAUAAAAUAAACUCCAAUGAUAAUUU